AACCCUAUGGAUUAAGAAUGGGAUGUCACUUAAGCUCACAUGUGAGUCAAGGCAGAGUCCUUGUGUUAGGGCUGAAGAGGAGGCUCCUGUGUUGGAGGAGGAGGAGGAGGUCGACACUAAAACAUUGCAAAGAGGAAAGAGACGUUACAAUCACUGAUCAGUCUUGGAGGAAAGGCCUGCU